rnacentral:rRNA from 1 species
UACGGGGGGGGCAAGCGUUGUUCGGAAUUACUGGGCGUAAAGGGCUCGUAGGUGGCCAACUAAGUCGGACGUGAAAUCCCUCGGCUUAACCGGGGAACUGCGUCUGAUACUGGAUGGCUUGAGUUCGGGAGAGGGAUGCGGAAUUCCAGGUGUAGCGGUGAAAUGCGUAGAUAUCUGGAGGAAUACCGGUGGCGAAGGCGGCAUCCUGGACCGGCAUUGACGCUGAGGAGCGAAAGCCAGGGGAGCAAACGGGG